AUCUGAGGUGUCACGACAUCUCCCUUCCGUCCUUUCUCUUGAUCUGGCAGCUUGUACCAGGCAAGCCCUAUCCACCCGAGAUUUCCCUUUGCCUCAUUUUCUUUCCGUCCUUGUUGGUCUCUCAGCGAGAAAGGUCGAUCGAUCGCCCCUCGAUAGAAACAAAUCGCGCGAUACGAGAGAAGGUGAAGGCCAUCGGGCAAUGAGAGAGAUGGGAUCGCUGCGAGAGAGAAGGCAUCCACCAAGCCAGCCAGGAUGCUGUCCGCCACCGCCAGGUCAAUGAUCCGCUCGUCCUUCCCUUCUCCGCGCCACUCCGACGGGAUGUCUUCCUCUGCGGCGCGAUCGACCCAUCGCCGCGCGUAGAGGAGAUGGGUUGUGCGUAGAACGUGGAUCAGUGACAGGGGGGAUCCAGCCGUGCUCGAUGCGGGCGAUCGGUCCAGCCGACGCGCGUGCGGUUUGGGCGAAUCCAGCCCACUCGAGCAGGAUACGGAGGAAGCGCGAUGCGGAUGGAUCGGGGGAAGUGUGGUUGGGGAAUGAUAAGCUUGUGUUGUGCAUAGGUACAAGGAGGGACUCGCAAUGUGAACAUGCCCGCACAAACAAUCGCAGAAAUGGUGAGUUCUUUCUUCCUUAAUUCAGCUUGGCGGGAUGCGGCAAUAAAUCAGAUGUAUUUUACGUCCUCUGUCCAACUGAUAAUUCCUUCCCAGAAGGAUAUAAAUAUUUGGAGUAUCUACUGUUAGUACUGUAUGAAAUGGAACAGUGGAUAAAAAGAGCCCUAGGUUUGUCUGCUUGGAGCUUCAACUUGGCUGUUGUUUCAGUCCUCUUCAAUCAAAUAUUUUCACAAUUCAAAGUCCAAUCGAUCUAUAACGAUGAUGUUAAUCUCUUGUAUCGAAUGUUUCUGUUGUUGAUGUAUGAGACAAAUCAUAGUUAUAGUGCGCCACAUGUUUUUCCCAUUUCAGUAACUAAAAAGAAUGUACAACUGUUGAUAAUAUUUUUGCAUCUACUAACUGUCAGUACCCAUGGCCAUGUUUUGUGGGAUAAAUGCUGUCCAAUUCCUUCUUGGAUGGCACACAUUAUUACUGUGUCUUCGUGUGGAAAAAGAUUGGAUGAAUGGAUCAGUUAGUUAUACUAUGGUUAGCCCGAGUACGUUGAAUUGGUUCUAUAUAGAAAAACGUAAUGUUGGUGCCACUGUUCUAUUCCUUCUUGGUUUCCAGUAAGUUGAAUCAAUUCUGGAUAAAAUCAAAAGGUUAGUGACCUUGUAAUUCGCACAAUAUGGAUGCUUGUAUUCCUCACUUUAUAUUCAAUUAAAAUAACAAUAUGGUUCAUUACGCUAUGCCAUCUUGAUGUGGUGUACAAUAACAGUAGUGUGGUAUCUGAUGAUCUUGAGAAAUAUGAUGAUUAAUAUAUGAACGGUUGAAAGUAUACAAAGUAAUUGUUGAUGGAGUAAAAAUUGCACUUUAUUGAAACAAAGUUGAAGGGUAUAUAGAUGCAGUUUGAUAUAGAAAAAUGUAAAAAAUAAAUUAAAUAGAUGUGUUAAUUAAUGUUCCUUCUGCUAUGUAUAAUACAAAGCCUUGUCUCUCUUUGUCAUUUAAGUGCAAGUUCGGUUUCGAUAGUAUGUUCACUUACUGAUCUUUAUACAUGUUCUCUGGUAGGAAUGUGUCAGAUGGCAUAACUCUCCAUGAGGCAUGGAAAUAAAAACAGACUGCCCAAAUAAUUUUGUUGAAUAUUCCUAAUUUCUUGCUUAUAAUCAUUUUUACACUUCAAAGGCCUUUGAUUUUCCGUAUAAUUUUUGUAGUACUCUUUAUCUAGGUUUCUAUCUUCUUAUUCCUUUGGUAUGCAAAAUGAAUGUAUUAGACUUUCUUCGUAAGCAAUACCAUAUGGUAACAAUACAAUUGUACCAUGAACACCUUCCUGACCAUUUCUGAUGAAUAUUUCUUUAUAUUUCAAGUGCAUUGAACCGUUGUGCUCUUCUCGGGCAAUAGAAAUUUUAUUAUGUGCGACUUCAUGUUCAUUCUUGUCCAUGUUUUUUCCUUGUAGCUUGGUUAAAAU